GUUUCAGAAAGGUCAUAGCCAUAUGGCUGUGGUAGUAAGACAGUGCAAAGAUGAUAUGGAUCAGCCUGCUAGCAAGUCCCCCGGAGAGACUCCUGUGAAAGAUGUCAGGGUAGACAUCGAUGGUGAAAAGCCUCCCCUUGAGAAGAGUCUUAAGACAAAACGAUCAUUGCAGAAGUGGAAGAGUUUCCCUAACAAUGGAAAUGCUUCAUUCAAAAGUACCAGGAGCAAAAAGUGGACAAAAAAUAUGUACGCGGACAUUCUGCCGAUAGAUGGAAAUCCG
rnacentral:misc_RNA from 1 species